CAGAUCCAGUAUCUCGUGAGCGGUCGUUCGUAACACAUAUACCUAUAAAUUGUGCGAAAAUGAAGAAUACAAAUUUAAUAAUUUAUUCCAGGUACAUCGCUUAACGUGGAAGGAUUCUGUAUCCGGAUAGAUCCUUAAAAUUUAUCCUGAAGGAGGAACCAAAUAUUCAAAUCUAUGAAUUUAGUCGCAAAUAAUUUAUAUAGCGCGUGCAUUUGAUGCGCAUCGUAAUUUCAUUUUUUUUAAACUUCAGGUUUAACCCUCGCUCAAAUAAAUUAUCUCGUCCUGCGAUUACUCGAAGUGUGAUCCUCGGACAUCGUUUUGCAAUUACGAAAUUCAGAAAUGUCACGCGUUUUUAAAAGUAUCGCACGUGUGAAUCAACGGAUCCUGAUGACUUUGAUCAUUUUGAGGAGGACAAGACCUAAGGGAGGCACAUCGGACAUCGAUGGAACAAUUAAAACCCUGGGGGCGACGUAGAACCAUCGUAAGCGGCCACCGGCGACGAAAUAGGCAACGGAGACCACCAGAAGUAGCUGCACGAGAUAGAUCGGACCCAUGUAAAUCGUAACCAGAGCCAAGGUGGCAGCUGUAAGCGCCAGCAAGAACAUGACGAAAGUCAAGCGUCGUAGAAAACGGCCG